GUGCUCUCCUCAGCAGCACAUAAACUAAAAUUGGAAUGAUACAGAGAAUAUUAGCAUACUCCCUGCACAAAUCAUACUACAAAGCUAUAGUUAUUACCACAUUGC